GGGGAUGGAUCGGUCUCGACGGGAUGGGAGAAUCCAAGAGCUGCAUGCCGUGCUUCGCCGGUGCUGCACGUAAAUUCAACCGGCGGACAAAAAGUGCCGAUGCGGUUGCAUACCGCAUGGCUGCCUAAUCCGAGGGAUUAGGCGCCAUCGUCUGCUCGGGAUUGCGUGCCCAUCCGCCCCAGAGCAGGCGUGGACUCCCGAUGGGCAGCAUCUCCGGAGCUGUCGCCGGGCGCCGGAGAUGCUCAGAGAAAGCGGCGAUAGCUUCGGUUGUCCUGCCACUCGGAGCCGCCGAAGCGAACCUGGAAAGAGUGGCUGAGCAUGGAGAAGCUCUUGGGUUCACAUCUCGGACGUGGGUUCGACUCCCACCAUCUCCAC
rnacentral:tmRNA from 1 species